rnacentral:piRNA from 1 species
GUGGGCUCGGGGUGCUGCAAUGCAGCC